CAUCGCCAUUUCUUUUAAAUAAGAUAUAAGAUAAUAAAAAAUAUAUUUAUUUUGUGGUAUCCUUAUAGGGUGUGGUAAAUCUUAAUAGCUAUACUAUUGCCAUCAUUUAAUCUCGAGAUAUUUACGCCUGAUGUGUGCGUAUGUAAUAAUUACUUAUGUUUAAUCGACAGGUGGCAAAAUUAAAAAAUCGAAAUUUUAUUGGUCCUUGGGCAGGAAGAAUUUUUUAACAUUUGAUAGUUCAAAAGAAAGUUUUGAAUGUAAGAAAUUAAUUAAGAUUAGUUUUAUCUAAGUAAUAAUUAGACGUGAUUAGUGUAGUGUUCUAUCUUGGACUUGGCGACAAUAUCUAUAUGAAAAUUUUGCUUAUUCUUAGUACCAUUGAUUUACCAUAAGAUGGUGCCACCAUGUACAAAAUAAGGCACUACACUUAUUGCAUGUAAUUAAUUAAUUCUGCAGAAAAUCGGAAUAAUGACACAAGGAUGAUGUAUAAAUACGGAGAUGAUUUAUGAGUUAAAACUUCAAUCCCUGAAUAGUUUAAGAAUUUGCUCUGCAGAUCAAGAAAUUUCAUUUUUUAAUUUAAGCAGGGUGGCGUCUUCAUUCGGGAGUUAGUAGUACUAACAAGAAGUAAAAUUUUGCAUAUAUUCACACUUGGGAAACUGUCAAAAUAGACGUAGUUAGACCAAAUUUAGGACAUUGUAUGAAUUAUCAUUUAUGAAUAUAUUAAACCUAUAACAUUACCAACAUCAAAUUAGAGUAACUAGAAACAACAACCAUAAAUAUUGAAAUGAUUUAAAAAUAUGUACAUUUAUUAGCAAAUAUACAGAUAAGAUAUAAGUUUAAUCACUUAAUUGAAAUAUGUUUAUUUAAUCACUUCCAAAAUUUAAUUUUAGACAAAAAAUGAAAAUAUAAUUUUAAGCACGUAGGAGAGAAAAUACGCGAAUAAUUUGAAACUUUAGACAGAUAAGAUCACAAAAUAUUUUUCGACUAUUCCGUCAAAAACUUAGCAUUAAGCAUUUUACAUAUUUGUACUUGUUAAACAAUUUUUUUCGUAAAUUUAAAUGUGAUGAAGGUGUGCUGUUCAUCUAAAGAUAAGAAUAAUAUUCGACUGUUCUGAAUAGUUUGAUACUUAUAGGUUAUGGGUACCACAUUCGAGAAACUGUUAAUUAUCAACCACAUAUACCACUCCAAUAAAGAAUAAUAGUAUGGAAUGACAAUGAAAUGAACGAUUCUUGAUCUCUGAUAGUAGAAAGUUGCUGUUAAUCUGCACAAAAUUUCUCCUAUUAAGCACACAUUACACAGACCGUGAUAAUUAAUACAAAAAAUAAUGAGCAUAAUGAACGAUACAAUUAAUAAACUACCAUUUAAAUAAUCAA